AGACAAACAUGAUCAUUCGUUGUACUAUAAACUAUUCAAUUGAAAUAAACAUAGUAUGAGGUUUUUCACAAUAUAAAGUGAUCAAACAAUUUUGUAUUUGUUGCAUGCAAAGGUAGAGCAAAAAAUGACUAAAACUCUCAAAAAAAUUUAUACUAUGAUCCUUUUCGUGUUCUUAUUUCUUGUUGUAGUCGAUGCUGGUGAUGUACGACACACAAUGAUUGUCAAAAAUACAACGAGUGUUCCAAUAGUGUACAUCUCCCAUUAUGUGACGAUGGUUAUUGCUGGUGUUAAGAUUAUAUUCAACACAAUCAUGACAAUAAAUCAAUGGAGUUUUUCUUGUGGAACUGAAGUACUAGAGACUUGUGCUUCACUUUAUUUUAAGAGUUUUUUUUUACUAUCGUUGAUUUUGUGGUAUGAGUAGUGAUCCUUGGGCUUCAAUAGUAUCUUUUGAAUGAGCUACUCUAUUUAAUAAUUGUUUGUAUUGUUCAAGAUUUAGUGUUUUCACUUGUUUUAUUUUUUAGCUUUCAAAGUUAUGAGUUAUAAAAUUAUUGUUAUUAUUUAUAAAAAAUAACAUGUUUUAGAAACUUGAAAACUUAAUGUGUGUUUACAUUUUAAUUUUAAUUACUAUCUCCAUUCUUAA